UACAGAGGGUGCGAGCGUUGUCCGGAAUCACUGGGCGUAAAGGGCGCGUAGGUGGUGGCUUAAGCGUGCGGUGAAAGCUCGGGGCUCAACCCCGAGUCGGCCGUGCGAACUGGGCUCACUGGAGCAUAGUAGAGGCAGGUGGAAUUCCGGGUGUAGCGGUGGAAUGCGUAGAGAUCCGGAAGAACACCGGUGGCGAAGGCGGCCUGCUGGGCUAUGGCUGACACUGAGGCGCGACGAGCGUGGGGAGCAAACAGG
rnacentral:rRNA from 1 species